AUUGAACGCUGGCGGCAGGCCUAACACAUGCAAGUCGAACGAGUGGCGGACGGGUGAGUAAUGUCUGUGAAACUGCCUGAUGGAGGGGGAUAACUACUGGAAACGUUAGCUAAUACCGCAUACCAUCGGAUGUGCCCAGAUGGGAUUAGCUAGUAGGUGGGGGAACGGCUCACCUAGGCGACGAUCCCUAGCUGGUCUGAGCGGAUGACCAGCCACACUGGAACUGAGACACGGUCCAGACUCCUACGGGAGGCAGCAGGGGGGAAUAGUGCACAAUGGGCGCAAGCCUGAUGCAGCAAUGCCGCGUGUAUGAAGAAGGCCUGAGGGUUGUAAAGUACUUUCAGCGGGGAGGCGUUACCCGCAGAAGAAGCACCGGCUAACUCCGUGCCAGCAGCCGCGGUAAUUC
rnacentral:rRNA from 1 species